ACGGCCUAAAGCGUGAUUAAAUUAUAUUAAAAUAAAUAGAAAUAAAAAUUAACUCAACUGUCGUACGUAUUUGUUAAAUGGUAAACCAGAGACGAAAGAUAUUCUAAUAAAUAAACUACUUGAACCCACGAAAGCUAAGAAACAAACUAGGAUUAGAUACCCUACUAUGCUCAGCCUUAAACUUUGGAACCCACCCGCCUGAGUACUACGAGCCACAGCUUAAAACUCAAAGGACUUGGCGGUGCUCUACACCCCCCUAGAGGAGCCUGUUCUAUAAUUGAUACCCCCCGCUAAACCUCACCACUUAUUGCCAAUACCGCUUAUAUACCGCCGUCGUCAGCUCACCAUUUAAGUGAAUAAUAGUAGGCAUAAUGAUAAACAUAAAAACGUCAGGUCAAGGUGUAGCGAAUUAAGUGGGAAGAAAUGGGCUACAUUUUCUAAACUAGAAAAUACGAAAAAUCUUAUGAAAAACUAUUUAAAGGUGGAUUUAGCAGUAAAAAGAAAAUAGAGUGUUCUUUUUAAAUUGGCCAUAGAGCGCGCACACACCGCCCGUCACCCUCCUCAAAAAACCAACUAAUUAUAUAAUAAAAGAGAACAAAAGAAGAGGUAAGUCGUAACAUGGUAAGUUUACCGGAAGGUGUACUUGGAUUAU
rnacentral:rRNA from 1 species